rnacentral:sRNA from 1 species
AUUUUCUAUUUUUUUAAGAGAAUAAAAAAGUUAAAUCUUUAAUGACACAUGUAAACAUCUGAUCGUUUGAAUUGACACGUGGCACGAUCCUAUGAAUUAGUACCUUUGAAAACUAUACUUUAUAUAAUAUCUCAAAAUAUUCUAUUUUCACUUAUGAUUACAUGAGUUAAAAUUCUUAGAAUAAAACAUAGGUAUAGUAACACAUCAAAGGAUGCAAGACGCUCCAUCAUACGAUGUAUGAUGCCUUAAAAUUCUUAGAAUAAAACAUACGUAUUCGAAAAUUUAUUCUUUUUA